rnacentral:rRNA from 1 species
AACGAACGCUGGCGGCAUGCCUAACACAUGCAAGUCGAACGAAGCCUUCGGGCUUAGUGGCGCACGGGUGCGUAACGCGUGGGAAUCUGCCCUUGGGUUCGGAAUAACAGUUAGAAAUGACUGCUAAUACCGGAUGAUGUCUUCGGACCAAAGAUUUAUCGCCCAAGGAUGAGCCCGCGUAGGAUUAGGUAGUUGGUGGGGUAAUGGCCCACCAAGCCGACGAUCCUUAGCUGGUCUGAGAGGAUGAUCAGCCACACUGGGACUGAGACACGGCCCAGACUCCUACGGGAGGCAGCAGUGGGGAAUAUUGGACAAUGGGCGAAAGCUGAUCCAGCAAUGCCGCGUGAGUGAUGAAGGCCUUAGGGUUGUAAAGCUCUUUUACCAGGGAUGAUAAUGACAGUACCUGGAGAAUAAGCUCCGGCUAACUCCGUGCCAGCCGCCGCUGUAA